AAUGCAAGUUGUUCUAUCGCUGUGAGGUUAAUCUCGCAGAGGAAAGUCCGGGCAACAUAGGGCAAUCCGCCACCUGAAAGGGUGGGUGCAAAAAUCGAAAUGUUUUUGUAACAGAAAGUGCCACAGAAAACAAGGUAGCCACGAGGUGCGAAAGCACUUGCGGUGAUAGUGAAAAUGUGAGGUAAGAGCUCACAAGCGUAAUUAGUGAUAAUUAUGUUGGGUAAACCUCGGAUGUUGAAAGGCCAAAUAGGUUGCGGUAAUUAAGGCGGCUCGUCUUAUUCCGAUCCCGAUAUUUAUCGGGAGGAAGCCGCAAUGGGUAGGUCGCAAAGAUAAAUGAUAGAAUAUACCGCAGGGCAACCUGCGAUGAAACAGAACCCGGCUUACAGGCUUGCAAAUGUG
rnacentral:RNase_P_RNA from 1 species